rnacentral:lncRNA from 1 species
CUGAAAUGUGGAAACUCUCAACAAGAAGCUGAAAUUACAGUAAACACAACUCUUCAGCUGAAAUUUAGACCAGCACAGUCCAUUCAAUUCCAAUUUCAUAUAAGUGUGAGAACUGCAGUGGCAGAGACUGACAGGGAAGUAUCCUGCCUUGAAUGAAGACCCAAACAUAACAUGUUUUCACAUCAAAAAAGGCUGGUAAAAAUCUCACAGGUCUCUUUUACAUCCUGCUGUGAGGGAGCUGGGAUUGUGCAGCCUGAAUAAAAGGAGGCUCAGAGGAGACCUUCUCACUCUUUACAAGUUCCUGGAGGGAGGUUGUAGACAGGUAGGGGUUGGGCUUUUCUCCCAGGUAAC